rnacentral:rRNA from 1 species
GAUGAACGCUAGCUACAGGCUUAACACAUGCAAGUCGAGGGACCGGCGCACGGGUGAAUAACACGUAUCCAACCUGCCCUUUACUCGGGGAUAGCCUUUCGAAAGAAAGAUUAAUACCCGAUAGAAAGGAGGGGGGUGCGUUCCGGUAGGUUGUUGGUGAGGUAACUGCUGACCAAGCCUUCGAUGGAUAGGGGUUCUGAGAGGAAGGUCCCCCGCAUUGGAACUGAGACCCGGUCCAAACUCAUACGGGCGGCAGGAGUGAGGAAUAUUUGUUACUGGGUGCUAGCCUGAACCAUCCAGGUAGCGUGAAGGAUGAAGGCUUAUGGGUCGUAGACUUCUUGUAUAUAAGAAUAUGUAUUAUAUGAAUAAGGAUCGGCUAACUCCGUGCCAGCAGCCGCGGUAAUUC